UACAUGUGGGGCAAGCGUUGUUCGGAAUUACUGGGCAUAAAGAGCGUGUAGGCGGCUUUACAGGUCCGUUGUGAAAACUCGAGGCUCAACCUCGAGACGCCGGUGGAAACCGUAAGGCUAGAGUCCGGAAGAGGAGAGUGGAAUUCCUGGUGUAGCGGUGGAAUGCGCAGAUAUCAGGAGGAACACCAAUAGCGAAGGCAGCUCGCUGGGACGUUACUGACACUGAGGCGCGAAAGCGUGGGGAGCGAACAGG
rnacentral:rRNA from 1 species